GUGGGGAAUUUUGGACAAUGGGCGCAAGCCUGAUCCAGCAAUGCCGCGUGUGUGAAGAAGGCCUUCGGGUUGUAAAGCACUUUUGGCAGGAAAGAAAUAGCGCGUGCUAAUACCAUGCGCGAAUGACGGUACCUGCAGAAUAAGCACCGGCUAACUACGUGCCAGCAGCCGCGGUAAGACGUAGGGUGCAAGCGUUAAUCGGAAUUACUGGGCGUAAAGCGUGCGCAGGCGGUUUUGUAAGACAGGUGUGAAAUCCCCGGGCUGAACCUGGGAACUGCACUUGUGACGGAGAGGCUAGAGUGUGUCAGAGGGAGGUGGAAUUCCGCGUGUAGCAGUGAAAUGCGUAGAGAUGCGGAGGAACACCGAUGGCGAAGGCAGCCUCCUGGGAUAACACUGACGCUCAGGCACGAAAGCGUGGGGAGCAAACAGGAUUAGAAACCCCAGUAGUCC
rnacentral:rRNA from 1 species